GCCUGGGUGGCUCAGUCGGUUGGGCGUUUGAUUUCGGCUCAGGUCAUGAUCUCACUCUUUGUGAGUUCAAGCCCCGCAUCAGGCU
rnacentral:tRNA from 1 species